ensembl:snoRNA SNORD58 Small nucleolar RNA SNORD58
UUGCUGUGAUGACUUAUCUUAGGACACCUUUGGAAUACCCAUGAAAAAAAAAAAAAAGGAAGUUAUUUCUGAGCAAC